GUCAGGGCGUCCUAGCCUGUCUGAAAGCACAUGGACGGGAUGCCUGUUGGACCUGCUCGUGGCUGGGGGACAGACUGGAGAUCGCCUCAAAUCACCACGGGAAGAGCCGAGACGAACCGAGACGUGUUAAUCCAGCGUUCUCUGCUGUUCGCUACACUUCUCUAGAAAGAAUAGCCGGCACAGCAAGACCCAAACUCAAUGUCUGCGAUAAGCUCUAAAGCCGGAAAAGCCCGUUUUCCCCUCCCGACACCGUUAUCGAGGAGGAAACCAUUCAUCAAUUCUAUGCAGAAACACCACAGAUUUCUCUGGGCUCAAACUCAUCUCAGAUGGACCAAAAGACAGUGGAAACAUGUGCUGUGGUCAGAGGAGUCCACAUUUCAGCUUGUUUUUGGGACAACGAGUUCUCCGUGCCAAAGAUAGUCUAUAAGAACGCCUUCUGACCAAAGUGGAACGGACUGAAAUCAUUCUCAUGACUACAGCACAAAGAUCAUUAAAAGGAAUGCAUUCGAAGUGCAAGUACACGUACAACACGAGCUCAUCGUGAGGAGGAGACACGACUCUGGGUGCAUCUAUAAACAAGCGGCAAUCG